rnacentral:rRNA from 1 species
GACGUAGGGCGCGAGCGUUGUCCGGAUUUAUUGGGCGUAAAGAGCUCGUAGGCGGCUUGUCGCGUCGUCCGUGAAAACCCACAGCUCAACUGUGGGCUUGCGGUCGAUACGGGCAGGCUAGAGUUCGGUAGGGGAGACUGGAAUUCCUGGUGUAGCGGUGAAAUGCGCAGAUAUCAGGAGGAACACCGGUGGCGAAGGCGGUGGUCUGGGCCGGAACUGACGCUGAGGAGCGAAAGCGUGGGGAGCGAACAGG